UUUGGUGAAGGAGAAGUGUUGGUGUUUCCCUUCUUUUUGAGUUGCCGGAUAGCAUGAAUUGCCUUAUGCAACAUCUUCUCUAAGCUGACAUAAGUCUGAAGCUCAUUCUGAUCAAACACAUCACGGUUGCUUCUCUUGGCUUUGGUGAAGGGACGAUCACCACUUCUGACCCACUUCUCAUCAUCAUCGAACUUUUUUUGUCUCUUCCUUUGGUUUCUUUGUUUCUGCACAAAAUCAAACCCAUUAGAAGCAAACUAUUUCUUAUUUCCAAAAAUCAUUUACUCUUUUUCUAACACAGUUUUAAAAGGAAAGUAAACGUCUUGUUGUGGUUUUGAUUUCUUGAGAAGUCCAAACAUCCUGAAAACACUUAACAAAAGAGUUAGCAAAUAAAAAUAUUCACACUCUCAAAGUGUUUAGCUCACGAUUUUUAGGUGAUCACUCAGAGUUCUUUCCACUGGUUCAAAGGAUGAUAGACAGUCAAAAUUCAGCAAUCAAAGCCCAAAACAAACUUUUGUGGCAAAAAGAAAGGAGAAAGAAAGAUGAAGAGAUUUUUGAUAUGGAUCCGCCUUAACUAUCCUAAGGCUGGGUUUCUCUUAAGCCAGCAGAGUUUCUCUUCCACCACUC
rnacentral:lncRNA from 1 species